UUCGGGAGAAGGCACGCUGAUAUGUAGGUGAAGCGACUUGCUCGUGGAGCUGAAAUCAGUCGAAGAUACCAGCUGGCUGCAACUGUUUAUUAAAAACACAGCACUGUGCAAACACGAAAGUGGACGUAUACGGUGUGACGCCUGCCCGGUGCCGGAAGGUUAAUUGAUGGGGUUAGCGGUAACGCGAAGCUCUUGAUCGAAGCCCCGGUAAACGGCGGCCGUAACUAUAACGGUCCUAAGGUAGCGAAAUUCCUUGUCGGGUAAGUUCCGACCUGCACGAAUGGCGUAAUGAUGGCCAGGCUGUCUCCACCCGAGACUCAGUGAAAUUGAACUCGCUGUGAAGAUGCAGUGUACCCGCGGCAAGACGGAAAGACCCCGUGAACCUUUACUAUAGCUUGACACUGAACAUUGAGCCUUGAUGUGUAGGAUAGGUGGGAGGCUUUGAAGUGUGGACGCCAGUCUGCAUGGAGCCGACCUUGAAAUACCACCCUUUAAUGUUUGAUGUUCUAACGUUGGCCCGUAAUCCGGGUUGCGGACAGUGUCUGGUGGGUAGUUUGACUGGGGCGGUCUCCUCCUAAAGAGUAACGGAGGAGCACGAAGGUUGGCUAAUCCUGGUCGGACAUCAGGAGGUUAGUGCAAUGGCAUAAGCCAGCUUGACUGCGAGCGUGACGGCGCGAGCAGGUGCGAAAGCAGGUCAUAGUGAUCCGGUGGUUCUGAAUGGAAGGGCCAUCGCUCAACGGAUAAAAGGUACUCCGGGGAUAACAGGCUGAUACCGCCCAAGAGUUCAUAUCGACGGCGGUGUUUGGCACCUCGAUGUCGGCUCAUCACAUCCUGGGGCUGAAGUAGGUCCCAAGGGUAUGGCUGUUCGCCAUUUAAAGUGGUACGCGAGCUGGGUUUAGAACGUCGUGAGACAGUUCGGUCCCUAUCUGCCGUGGGCGCUGGAGAACUGAGGGGGGCUGCUCCUAGUACGAGAGGACCGGAGUGGACGCAUCACUGGUGUUCGGGUUGUCAUGCCAAUGGCACUGCCCGGUAGCUAAAUGCGGAAGAGAUAAGUGCUGAAAGCAUCUAAGCACGAAACUUGCCCCGAGAUGAGUUCUCCCUGAGACUUAGAGUCUCCUGAAGGAACGUUGAAGACGACGACGUUGAUAGGCCGGGUGUGUAAGCGCAGCGAUGCGUUGAGCUAACCGGUACUAAUGAACCGUGAGGCUUAACCUUACAACGCCGAAG
rnacentral:rRNA from 1 species